AUUGAACGCUGGCGGCAGGCCUAACACAUGCAAGUCGAACGAGUGGCGGACGGGUGAGUAAUGUCUGGGAAACUGCCUGAUGGAGGGGGAUAACUACUGGAAACGGUAGCUAAUACCGCAUACCAUCGGAUGUGCCCAGAUGGGAUUAGCUAGUAGGUGGGGUAAAGGCACACCUAGGCGACGAUCCCUAGCUGGUCUGAGAGGAUGACAAGCCAAACGGGAACGGAGACAGGGUCCAGACUCCUAAGGGAGGAAGCGGGGGGGAAUAUUGCACAAGGGGCGCAAGCCUGAUGCAGCAAUGCCGCGUGUAUGAAGAAGGCCUGCGGGUUGUAAAGUACUUUCAGCGGGGAGGCGUUACCCGCAGAAGAAGCACCGGCUAACUCCGUGCCAGCAGCCGCGGUAAUU
rnacentral:rRNA from 1 species